CCAGAUCGGCCCACUUUAGUUCCAAUCAACCAACUCCUCUUCCCCAAUUUCCAAUCGACCCAGCCCACUCACCUCUAACCCUGACCUGGCCCACCUUCUUUUCUCAAAGAAAAACUCAGCCAUCGCGUGCAUUUUCCAGAAUAACAGCAGCAACAUCACAGUGUCUUCACGACUGCUCCAAAACGCAGCAGAAACAGCAACCAAACGGCCCCUACUCGUCUCCAGUUCAUACGAAAAUACAUGGAAACUUCAUGCCUUGUACGCGAUGCAAUGCUAUUCUACAAUUUUAUUGCCUUCUUGUUCCCAACCCUGUCAGUUCGUAUAGCAAAUCACUAGAAAAGCAUGUGAAAUAGUCCAUGCGCCUUGGGAUUGAGACACGUAGCAUCUCAAGGACAAUCAAAUUGAUCCAAGACGUCCAUAUCCCCUUCCCUCUUCAGGAAUGGGUUGAAAUCUCAGAAAAAGGGUGUUUCCCUUUAUUGGUAAAAGGUUUCUGGGAGUUUGAAUUUUGAACGCGCCCUUUAAUCCAAGAGUUUUAUCCGUUUCCCUCUGAAAGAUUGGAACCUAGUUUUCUUCUAUAAAUACCUCCUCUUUCUCCAUUAUUAAAGGUGGGAAAAAGGAUUGGGAAAUAUAGGAGUCAAAUUAGUACGGACAGAGAGUGAAAAAACAAUGUUAUAUUAAAUAUUCUUGACAUUCAAAGCCAUAGUCUUUCAAGUUCAGAUUGUAGCCUCUUUCUCGCUUGUUGUUCGUCAGAAUUCGGUGAGGUCGAGGUCGGUGGUUGAAGCAUUUUGUCCCUCUUCAUCUCCAGUCGCAUCCCAGAACCAGAUCGAUUGAAAGGAAGCUAAUAUUAUUGGGUUAAACACCCAAGAAGACAGCAUCAGUAGUAGCUGAAAAGGCUAAAAAAAUAGCAUUUCCUUGGACUUGAAAAGCCUGAAAAUGGCAGCAGCUGAAGCAGAGUUCCAAUAACUCAGAAGGCUGAAAAUUGAAGAUAAAUAUUGGGUUGAAACCCAUAAUCAAUAUGGCAGCAGUGGUAGCAGGGUAGCAGAUUAAGGUCCUGGAAGCCCAAAUUUUAAUCUCUCGAUUAUAUUUAACUCUUUUAUAUUGUGUGUUUGCUAUGGUCUAACUAACUUAUUUGUUUGGCCUUUGAACUAGAUGAAUCCUCUCCAAAAUGAAUGUUAUUUCUUAAAUUGUAUUUCUUAUUUCUUAUCACUUGUAGAAUGACUUAAGAACCUUUUAUGUUUUUUCAUAAUUAUUGUGUAUCAA